rfam:Allomyces macrogynus ATCC 38327 genomic scaffold supercont3.8, whole genome shotgun sequence.
GCCCGACUAGCUCAGUCGGUAGAGCGUGGGACUUUUAAUCCUAAGGCCGCGGGUUCGAGCCCCGCGUUGGGUG